rnacentral:rRNA from 1 species
UACGGAGGGUGCAAGCGUUAUCCGGAUUCACUGGGUUUAAAGGGUGCGUAGGUGGGUUGGUAAGUCAGUGGUGAAAUCUCCGUGCUUAACAUGGAAACUGCCAUUGAUACUACUGAUCUUGAAUUUUCUGGAGGUAAGCGGAAUAUGUCAUGUAGCGGUGAAAUGCUUAGAUAUGACAUAGAACACCAAUUGCGAAAGGCAGCUUGCUACAGGGAUAUUGACACUGAGGCACGAAAGCGUGGGGAUCAAACAGG